rnacentral:rRNA from 1 species
UACGUAGGCAGCAAGCGUUGUUCGGAAUUACUGGGCGUAAAGAGUGUGUAGGCGGUUUUGUAAGUUAGAGGUGAAAGCCCAGGGCUUAACCCUGGAAUUGCCUUUAAGACUGCAUCGCUAGAAUCGUGGAGAGGUGAGUGGAAUUCCGAGUGUAGAGGUGAAAUUCGUAGAUAUUCGGAAGAACACCAGUGGCGAAGGCGACUCACUGGACACGUAUUGACGCUGAGGUGCGAAAGCGUGGGGAGCAAACAGG